CGCUGUUGUCCAGGCUGUGACAUGCGACAAUUCUACAAGCAACCGGUCAGCUUUGAGGUCGUUGGGCAUACAUGGGGACAGAAAAAACCCACAAACAUCAUUUCAACACCCCUGUGACCCGUCAAGAGAGAUUUACACUGUCAUCGACCCACCGCACAUUUUCAAGUGCAUAAGAAACAAUCUUCAAAAGGUUGGGAAGUUUCUGCUGCCAGAGGGUGACGUUUACCACGAUAAUUUCAAG